rnacentral:rRNA from 1 species
UACAGAGGUCUCGAGCGUUAGGCGGAAUCACUGGGCUUAAAGCGUGUGUAGGCGGAUCGGUAAGUACCUUGUGAAAUCCCACAGCUUAACUGUGGAACUGCUUGGUAUACUGCCAGUCUUGAGCCACUUAGGGGCUACCGGAACAAAUGGUGGAGCGGUGAAAUGCGUAGAUAUCAUUUGGAACGCCAAUGGUGAAAACAGGUAGCUGGGAGUGUGCUGACGCUGAGGCGCGAAAGCCAGGGGAGCGAACGGG